rnacentral:rRNA from 1 species
CCCUUAGAUGUUCUGGGCCGCACGCGCGCUACACUGAUGCAUUCAACGAGUUUCUUCCUGGUCCGAGAGGAAUGGGUAACCUUUUGAAAGUGCAUCGUGAUAGGGAUAGACUAUUGCAAUUAUUGGUCUUCAACGAGGAAUUCCUAGUAGACGUAGUUCAUCAGACUGCAUCGAUUACGUCCCUGCCCUUUGUACACACCGCCCGUCGCUCUUACCGAUUGAAUGCUCAGGUGAGCCAUUCGGACUUUCAUCAUGCUGGUUUCCAGUUUUGAUGAAGGAAAGUCUUGCGAACCUUAUCAUUUAGAGGAAGGAGAAGUCGUAACA